rnacentral:rRNA from 1 species
UAGGGAAUCUUCCGCAAUGGACGAAAGUCUGACGGAGCAACGCCGCGUGAGUGAAGAAGGAUUUCGGUUCGUAAAACUCUGUUGUUAGGGAAGAAAAAAUGUAUAGUAACUAUAUACAAAAGAGACGGUACCUAACCAGAAAGCCACGGCUAACUACGUGCCAGCAGCCGCGGUAAUACGUAGGUGGCAAGCGUUGUCCGGAAUUAUUGGGCGUAAAGCGCGCGCAGGUGGUUUAGAAAGUCUGAUGUGAAAGCCCACGGCUCAACCGUGGAGGGUCAUUGGAAACUAAUAAACUUGAGUGCAGGAGAGAAAAGUGGAAUUCCUAGUGUAGCGGUGAAAUGCGUAGAUAUAUGGAGGAACACCGGUGGCGAAAGCGGCUCUCUGGUCUGUAACUGACGCUGAGGCUCGAAAGCGUGGGGAGCGAACAGG